ensembl:snRNA U6 U6 spliceosomal RNA
GUGCUCACUUUGGCAGCACAUAUAGUAAAAUUGGGAUCAUACAGAGAAGAUUAUCAUGACCCCUGUGCGAGGAUGACACACAAAUUUGUGAACUGUUUCAUAUUUUU